GUUAGGAAUAUUGGACAAUGGGCGAAAGCCUGAUCCAGCCAUGCCGCGUGAACGAUGAAGGCCUUCGGGUUGUAAAGUUCUUUAGCCGAUGAUUAUAAUGACUGUAGUCGGAAAAUAAGCCCCGGCUAACUUCGUGCCAGCAGCCGCGGUAAUACGAAGGGGGCGAGCGUUAUUCGGAAUCACUGGGCGUAAAGCGUGCGUAGGCGGUUUUGUAAGUUAGGAGUGAAAGCCCAGGGCUCAACCUUGGAAUUGCUCUUAAAACUGCAAGGCUCGAAUCUCGGAGAGGAUAGCGGAAUUUCCAGUGUAGCAGUGAAAUGCGUAGAUAUUGGAAGGAACACCAGUGGCGUAAGCGGCUAUCUGGACGAGUAUUGACGCUGAGGCACGAAAGCGUGGGGAUCAAACAGGAUUAGAUACCCUGGUAGUCC
rnacentral:rRNA from 1 species